rnacentral:rRNA from 1 species
UACGUAGGGUGCAAGCGUUGUCCGGAAUUAUUGGGCGGAAAGAGCUCGUAGGCGGUCUGUCACGUCGGCUGUGAAAACCCGAGGCUCAACCUCGGGCCUGCAGUCGAUACGGGCAAACUAGAGUACUGCAGGGGAGACUGGAAUUCCUGGUGUAGCGGUGAAAUGCGCAGAUAUCAGGAGGAACACCGGUGGCGAAGGCGGGUCUCUGGGCAGUAACUGACGCUGAGGAGCGAAAGCGUGGGGAGCGAACAGG